UACGAAGGGGGCUAGCGUUGCUCGGAAUCACUGGGCGUAAAGCGCACGUAGGCGGGUUCUUAAGUCAGGGGUGAAAUCCUGGAGCUCAACUCCAGAACUGCCUUUGAUACUGGGAAUCUCGAGUCCGGGAGAGGUGAGUGGAACUGCGAGUGUAGAGGUGAAAUUCGUAGAUAUUCGCAAGAACACCAGUGGCGAAGGCGGCUCACGGGCCCAGUACUGACGCUGAGGUGCGAAAGCGUGGGGAGCAAACAGG
rnacentral:rRNA from 1 species